AUUGAACGCUGGCGGCAUGCCUUACACAUGCAAGUCGAACGGCAGCACGGGAGCAAUCCUGGUGGCGAGUGGCGAACGGGUGAGGAAAGGAUCGGAACGUGCCCAGUCGUGGGGGAUAACGUAGCGAACUUUACGCUAAUACCGCAUACGAUCUAUGGAUGAAAGCGGGGGAUCGCACGACCCUGCGCGGUUGGAGCGGCCAAUAUCAGAUUAGGUAGUUGGGGGGGGAAAGGCUCACCACGCCGACGAUCUGUAGCUGGUCUGAGAGGACGACCAGCCACACGGGGACUGAGUCACGGCCCAGACUCCUACGGGAGGCAGCAGUGGGGAAUUUUGGACAAUGGGCGAAAGCCUGAUCCAGCCAUGCCGCGUGCAGGAUGAAGGCCUUCGGGUUGUAAACUGCUUUUGUACGGAACGAAAAGGUUUGGCCUAAUAAGCUGAGCUCAUGACGGUACCGUAAGAAUAAGCACCGGCUAACUACGUGCCAGCAGCCGCCGUAA
rnacentral:rRNA from 1 species